rnacentral:rRNA from 1 species
GACGUAGGAGGCGAGCGUUGUCCGGCUUUAUUGGGCGUAAAGAGCGCGCAGGCGGCUUGGUAAGUCGGAUGUGAAAACCCGGGGCUCAACCCCGGGCCUGCAUCCGAUACUGCCCGGCUAGAGGUAGGUAGGGGAGAUCGGAAUUCCUGGUGUAGCGGUGAAAUGCGCAGAUAUCAGGAGGAACACCGGUGGCGAAGGCGGAUCUCUGGGCCUUACCUGACGCUCAGGCGCGAAAGCUAGGGGAGCGAACAGG